AUACGGAGGGAGCAAGCGUUAUUCGGAAUCACUGGGCGUAAAGGACGCGUAGGCGGGUUUGUAAGUCAGGUGUGAAAUCCUACAGCUCAACUGUAGAACUGCACUUGAAACUACAGACCUAGAGUAUGGAAGGGGCAGGUGGAAUUAGUGGUGUAGGGGUAAAAUCCGUAGAUAUCACUAGGAAUACCGAAAGCGAAGGCGAUCUGCUGGGACAUUACUGACGCUGAGGCGUGAAAGCGUGGGGAGCAAACAGGAUUAGAGACCCCAGUAGUCC
rnacentral:rRNA from 1 species